rnacentral:rRNA from 1 species
ACGGGCCGCACAAGCGGUGGAGUAUGUGGUUUAAUUCGAUGCAACGCGAAGAACCUUACCAGGUUCUUGACAUCCCGAUGCUUAUUUCUAGAGAUAGAAAGUUACUUCGGUACAUCGGUGACAGGUGGUGCAUGGUUGUCGUCAGCUCGUGUCGUGAGAUGUUGGGUUAAGUCCCGCAACGAGCGCAACCCCUAUUGUUAGUUGCCAUCAUUCAGUUGGGCACUCUAGCGAGACUGCCGGUAAUAAACCGGAGGAAGGUGGGGAUGACGUCAAAUCAUCAUGCCCCUUAUGACCUGGGCUACACACGUGCUACAAUGGUUGGUACAACGAGUUGCGAGUCGGUGACGGCGAGCUAAUCUCUUAAAGCCAAUCUCAGUUCGGAUUGUAGGCUGCAACUCGCCUGCAUGAAGCCGGAGUUGCUAGUAACCGCAGGUCAGCAUACUGCGGUGAAUACGUUCUCGGGCCUU